CGGACAUGAAGUUGCUCACCAGCACAACAGUUUUUUUUUUUUUUUUGGUAUCAAACCAGAAAACAAAUCACAUCGUUUAUUUUCUUUUUCUUUAUAUUAUGUGAUGAAGAAGCUAAUCAUAUCGUAUAUCAAUCGAGUCGUACCAUAUAUAUAUCACUGUCGUCAGAGGUUGAGUUUAACGAUCCAAAAACCGCAUUUACCUAUUGGGAUCACACCGGGGUCUUGACUACUAUGACAGUAGCAACCACAUUUGUCUUCCCAAUGUUAGCAUGAAACUGCAC
rnacentral:lncRNA from 1 species